GGGGAUAUAGCUCAAUUGAUAGAGUACUUGCCUCACAUGCACAAAGCUCUGGGUUGAAUCCCCAGCACCACCA
rnacentral:tRNA from 1 species